AUUUCGGAAAGGAAAUCCAUAUAAAGGAAUAGUGAAUUAUAAAACUGAAUUUCAGUGGAACUUUCAAACAUCUAGAGUAAUGUUGUUAUAGGUUGAAUUGUGUCCACCCUUCCCAGCCCCUCCGAAAACAGCUUAUGUUGAAGUCUUAACUCCUGGUACCUCACAAUGUGGCCUUAUUUGGAAACAGCUUUGUUGCAGAUGUAAUUAAGAUGAAGACAACUGCAGUAGCGUGAGCUCUUACUCAGAUGGCUGAUGUCCUUACAAGGAGGAGGAAGUGUGGACACAGAGGCACAGGAAGAACACCCUGUGAAGAGGGUAAGGCAGAGACUGAAGAGAGACUUCCUGCCACAAGCCAAGGCACACCUGGGCUGCAGAAGCUGGAAGAAAGGAAGGAUCCUCCCCCUCAUGGCUUUGGGGAGAGCCUUUACUUGAUCCACUAAUAUUUGGAUUUUGGACUUCCAGCCUCCAGAACUGUGAGAGAAGAGAUUUCCACUGUUUUGAGCCUAUGAGUACUCACUGUGGUACUUUGUUUCACAAGCCUUAUGGAACCAACACUCCCCUUUGGAUACAUUUUGCUUAACUAACCAUCAAAUGAGGGUCUCCUUUAUAGUCUUGAAUACCUGUUGUAUGAAAAAAAUGUACACUCUGAUCUCAGAUGGACUGAUCAUAGAAAUGCCAAUGCAACCAUAGAACGUAUGACCAGGAAAGAGCCUGAAGACUGGAUCGCUAACGACAUGGAGUGUGUGUCCAGAGAGGGGACCAGUCUGAAAGAGUGUCCAUGCCAAAUGGGUGAAGAUGCCUGGGAGACAAGACUGCUGUAUUCAUGGAGCUGCAAUCCAUUGAGGAGAAAGAGGUGUGGAUCACAAGCCAAAGCACCAUGACAUCAAUAAAGAUGUGGUUCAGAAGCAUGAACAUGGAGGCAGUCUUUCUUGCUGUGGGGAGGAGGCCUUGGAGACUUCUCUGAUUACCACUAGAGAGAUGCAAACUUUAGAAGGGAGGACCAAUGGGGGUGGAGAGAUGAUACCUGAAUCUAACCCCUUACGCAAAAGCAAGUCCUUUGGUCCGGGCAGUGUUCUUGAAGGAGUGAUGAGGAAGAGAACUAAGAAAUGUGGAUUGUCCUCAGCAAGGAAUGCUGGGGAACUCGGCUGGUCUGAGAUAAUUCCUGUCAGCAGACAGCAGCAAGGAUCAGUGAGGUUCCUUCUGUCAUCAUGGCCCCAGGAGAGGCAUGGUGAUGCUGAUGUCAAGGGUAUUCCAGCAUUGGGCCAGCAUGGUCUGAGGGACUGUGAAAUCAGAAGAAGUAGCUAUAAAAAUAAAAAUCAACUGAUCUCUCUUCCUCUAGCUAAAGGACUCAGAAGUUCCCACCACAACGCACAACCAUGCCAUGAUACCAGUGUGUGGCCCAGGUGGAGAAGACGACUCUAAAUCCUGCUGGUAUCUUCAACCGUGCUGCCUAGAAAGAUGAGGCUGAAGAUACAAAGAGGUUUAAUCUGGUCCUUACAUCUCCAUCUCGUCCCAGAUAAAGUACCAGCAACUUCAUGUGACCUUUAUAAUGUUAGGACCUGCCUCCCUCCCUUGGGCAGCCCAGAACCCAACCAGCUUCUGUAUGUUUCUGUACUGUUCUGCAUGGAGUGACCAGAACACUCCACAGCUCACACUUUUAUGUCUAUAAAGCCACCUAGCAAUUUCAAGGAAGGGCACAGGACUCUAGUGUGAGGAAAGAGAAAGAAAAGCCCAGUAGCUGGUUGCUAAGGACAUAGCCUGGCAGCUGGCCCUCCCUCAGACAGGGGCACAGUGCAUUGCAAGGGAGAUCCAGGACAAUUAUCGGGCUGUUUGCUGUAGGGAAAUCCCUAGAAAAACAAAAGAAGGAAAAAAGUUAAGAAAA